AUGCGGGCAGUAGCAGCAGCGCCGGGUCUGGAGUGGAGGUGCUCCGCGGUGGUGUUUCUCCAGCAGCGGCAGUUCUCGCUACAGCGCCAGGAGAGAUUUGGCUUUGUGACUUUUUCUUCCAUGGCUGAAGUUGAUGCUGCCGUGGCCGCAAGACCUCACUCAGUUGACGGGAGAGUGGUUGAGCCAAAACGUGCUGUUGCAAGACAGGAAUCUGGAAAGCCAGGGGCUCAUGUAACUGUGAAGAAGCUGUUUGUUGGUGGAAUUAAGAAAGAUACUGAGGAACAUCAUCUUAGAGAUUCCUUUGAGGAAUAUGGAAAAAUUGAUACCAUUGAGAUAAUUACUGAGAGGCAGUCUGGAAAGAAAAGAGGCUUUGGAUUUGUUACGUUUGAUGACCAUGAUCCUAUGGAUAAGAUUGUGUUGCAGAAAUACCAUACUAUCAAUGGUCAUAAUGCGGAAGUAAGAAAGGCUUUGUCCAGACAAGAAAUGCAGGAAGUCCAAAGUUCUAGAAGUGGAGGAGGAGGCAACUUUGGUUUUGGAGAUUCUCAUGGUGGUGGUGGUGGAAAUUUUGGACCAGAACCAGGAAGUAACUUUAGAGGGGGGUCUGAUGGAUAUGGACAUGGCCGUGGAUUUGGGGAUGGGUAUAAUGGGUAUGGAGGGGGACCUGGAGGUGGCAGUUUUGAAGGCAGCCCUGGUUAUGGAGGAGGAAGAGGAGGAUAUGGUGGUGGAGGACCUGGAUAUGGCAACCAGGGUGGGGGCUACGGAGGUGGCUAUGGCAGUUAUGGAGGAGGAAAAUACGGGAGUGGAAAUUACAAUGAUUUUGCAAAUUAUAACCAACAACCUUCUAACUAUGGUCCAAUGAAGAGUGGAAAUUUGGGUGGUAGCAGGAGCAUGGGGGCACCAUAUGGUGGAGGAAACUAUGGUCCAGGAGGCAGUGGAGGAAGUGGGGGUUAUGGAGGGAGAAGCAGAUACUGAGCUUCUUCCUAUUUGCCAUGGGCGUCACUGUAUAAAUAGGAGAGGAUGAGCACUCAAAGGUAACAGAACAGCUUCAGGUUAUCAAAAUAAUAAUGGUAAGGAAAAUCUUAUCUCAGUC